CUCGAAUUUAGAAGAGCUAAGAAUAUAUAUAUAUUAAUGUUGAAAAAUUACUUAUAAUAUUUUCUUUGUUAUUAGACGUUAGGCGAUUUUAAAUAUAUCUAGUUUUUUAAGAAAUUAAUUUAAUUGGGCUGGUUUAAUUGAUUAUUUUAUUUAAAAAUUAAUUUUUAAGCUAAGUAAUAUUCAAGGGGAUAAGCUUUUGAGUAGAUUUUUAUAAGAUUUUAUUUAUUAAAAGUUUAAUAGGAAUAGAAGUUUUCAUUUUUUGUAGUGUUUUAUAUCAAGAUUUUUAGAGAGGUAAUUUGUUUUGUUUUAGAUUUUUUAUUAAAAUAUUAAAUGGAAUUAUGAAGUUUAAGAGAUAAUGAUAGAAUUAGUAUAGUUAAAUGUUUGAGGAAUUUAGAAUUGGAAGGUUUAGUUAAGUAAUUCGGCAAAUUGAUUUUCUGCCUGUUUAUUAAAAACAUGGCCUUUUGGGAAUAAUUUAAGGUCUGGCCUGCCCAAUGAGUUGAUUAAAUGGCCGCGGUACUUUGACCGUGCAAAGGUAGCAUAAUCAUUAGUUUUUUAAUUGAAAGCUGGUAUGAACGGUCGGACAAGAAAAUUACUGUCUCAAUUAAAUGGUUUUAGAAUUUUAUUUUUUAGUAAGAAGGCUAAAAUAGAUUUAGGGGACGAGAAGACCCUAUAGAAUUUUAUAAGCUUUAUGAGAUUGAAUUUUUAGUUUAAUUAUUUUGAUUUUAUAAGGUUUAUUUUGUUGGGGUGAUGGAAAAAUUUGAUAAACUUUUUUUUUUAUUAAUUCACUUAUAUGUGUUUUGAUGAUCCGUUGUGAAGCGAUUAUAAGAUUAAAUUACCUUAGGGAUAACAGCGUAAUUAGUUUGGAGAGUUCUUAUUGAUAAACUAGUUUGCGACCUCGAUGUUGGAUUAAAAUAAACUUUUGGUGUAGGGGCUGAAAAGUUAAGUCUGUUCGACUUUUAAAAUUUUACAUGAUCUGAGUUUAAACCGGCGUGAGCCAGGUUGGUUUCUAUCUUUAGAAAGUUUUAAUAUUUUAGUACGAAAGGACCAAGUAUU
rnacentral:rRNA from 1 species